rnacentral:rRNA from 1 species
CUUAGCGGCGGACGGGUGAGUAACGCGUGGGUAACCUGCCUUACACUGGGGGAUAACAGUUAGAAAUGACUGCUAAUACCGCAUAAGCGCACAGGGCCGCAUGGUCCGGUGUGAAAAACUCCGGUGGUGUAAGAUGGACCCGCGUCUGAUUAGGUAGUUGGUGGGGUAACGGCCCACCAAGCCGACGAUCAGUAGCCGACCUGAGAGGGUGACCGGCCACAUUGGGACUGAGACACGGCCCAA